rnacentral:rRNA from 1 species
UUCCAGACUCCUACGGGAGGCAGCAGUGGGGAAUAUUGCACAAUGGGGGGAACCCUGAUGCAGCGACGCCGCGUGGGUGAAGGAGCACCUCGGUGCGUAAAGCCCUAUCGGCAGGGAAGAAACAGACGGUACCUGACUAAGAAGCCCCGGCUAACUACGUGCCCGCAGCCGCGGUAAUACGUAGGGGGCAAGCGUUAUCCGGAUUCACUGGGUGUAAAGGGAGCGUAGGCGGCCUGCCAAGUCUGAUGUGAGAUACCGGGGCUCAACCCCGGGGCUGCAUUGGAAACUGGCAGGCUGGAGUGCCGGAGAGGCAGGCGGAAUUCCUAGUGUAGCGGUGAAAUGCGUAGAUAUUAGGAGGAACACCAGUGGCGAAGGCGGCCUGCUGGACGGUGACUGACGCUGAGGCUCGAAAGCGUGGGGAGCAAACAGGAUUAGAUACCCCGGUAGA